rnacentral:lncRNA from 1 species
AGAGGCAAGGACUACAGAAAACCUCAGGACUUAAAACUAAUGGACAGGAAACAUCUUUAACAAGCAAAGGCCCUGCCUUUGAUCCUAUGGACAUGAAAACCCUGGUCCUAUUCUGUCUAAGAAGGCCUUUUUCAGUUUUAAAACUGCUUGGUUGUCUCCAAGAGGACACACAGACAGUUACUAACACCUGCACACAAAGACUCAGGCAGAGCCCAUAAGCUCCCGCCAGAGCUGAUCCCGCUCAUCUCCCCAGUCAGUUUAAGGUCAGCAUGGAUCAGACCAAGACUCUUGAGCUUCAUCAGGGCUGUGGCCACCUGCUGCAAGAUUGGUCUUAUGUACUUGAGUGGCAGUGGGCUAAACUUGUUCUGCUUUAGAAAAUCGUACAAGUUCUGCUCCAACAUCUCAAACACGAGGCAGGACUUCAUAGCUGUUGGUCAUAGAGCAAAGGAUCUCGUGCUGGACCAGCUGGUAAUCCCCUUCUCCGCUGGAACUGCUACUCUUGGUGGUCACAGUGGUGGUCGUGGCAGCAGCACCCACCACGGUUCUGUUCUGCAGCAUGAGAGGGGGAUGUUCUUCUAUGAUCUGCACGCUACCGUUGCUGUCCACUUCCUCACUCUUUCUCUUCAAUCCACAUUUUUGAUAUGGCUCAAGCAAAGAAACGUUGCUCCUGUGAGUCAGGGUCUGGCUGCUUUGGAAGGUUGCCGUAGCGGCGCUGCCUGAGCUAUCAGCAGCUGUUACCACAAUAUGCUCCACCGCAGGAGCUGGGAGGAGGAGGCCCUGGUCGUAAGCAGGAAUAUUGAAAUUUGCUACCUGUUUCUUUGCACUGCAGAAGGCACUCGACGACACUGAUGGGGGCGAAAACACCUGCAGCUGUGAUGCCAUACCUACAUGGAGAGAAGGAAGAAUGAGACCACAGGGCUCACGAUGUGAAGCUCACCAACAGCGCAUGUGAGAACACAUGGAGCUGAUAAGACCACAGUGCAUGUCUCCCUCCUCUCAAAGGAGGAAGAUCUGGUUUAAUUUUAAAUCUCAUUACUGAUCAACUUGCUCUAAAAUUUGUAAACUACAAUGUCCAGAGAGCAACUGUUCAGGACACGAUCUAAAAAAACGACCUGCCAACCAGAGCCAACAUUUUUGUCAGCUGCUUUACCGGUUUGGCAGCCUCUAGCUUCAAUCUCAAAAACUUUACCAAAAUAUUCUUCAAACC